CCACUUCUCGGUUGAUAAAGCACAAGGCUCUUAACCUUGUGGGCGUGGGUUCAAGCCCCAUGAUGGGGG
rfam:Triticum urartu cultivar G1812 contig722890, whole genome shotgun sequence.